CAGCACCUCAAGUGGUCAGGAUGAUUAUUGGGCCUAAAGCAUCCGUAGCCGGCGCUGUAAGUUUUCGGUUAAAUCUGUACGCUCAACGUACAGGCUGCCGGGAAUACUACAGCGCUAGGGAGUGGGAGAGGUAGACGGUACUCGGUAGGAAGGGGUAAAAUCCUUUGAUCUAUUGAUGACCACCUGUGGCGAAGGCGGUCUACCAGAACACGUCCGACGGUGAGGGAUGAAAGCUGGGGGAGCAAACCGGAUUAGAUACCCGCGUAGUCC
rnacentral:rRNA from 1 species